rnacentral:ncRNA from 1 species
GCCCGUUAAAGCGGUACGCGAGCUGGGUUCAGACCGUCGUGAGACAGGUCGGUCUCUAUCCGCUGUGGGCGCAAGGGACUUGAGAGGAUCUGCCCCUAGUACGAGAGGACCGGGGUGGACGGACCGCUAGUGUGCCAGUUGUCGUGCCAACGGCAUCGCUGGGUAGCUAGGUCCGGCAAAGAUAACCGCUGAAAGCAUCUAAGUGGGAAACUUGCCUCAAGAUGAGGUCCCUCAUCCUUUAUGGAGUAAGACCGCAGGAAGACUACCUGCUUGAUAGGCGGCAGGUGUAAGCGCAGCAAUGCGUUCAGCUAAGCCGUACUAAUGGUCGAGGGCUUAACCUG